rnacentral:rRNA from 1 species
AUUGAACGCUGGCGGAAUGCUUUACACAUGCAAGUCGAACGGCAGCACGGACUUCGGUCUGGUGGCGAGUGGCGAACGGGUGAGUAAUGUAUCGGAACGUGCCCAGUCGUGGGGGAUAACGUAGUGAGAAUUACGCUAAUACCGCAUACGAUCUAUGGAUGAAAGCGGGGGACCGCAAGACCUCGCGCGAUUGGAGCGGCCGAUAUCAGAUUAGGUAGUUGGUGGGGUAAAGGCCCACCAAGCCAACGAUCUGUAGCUGGUCUGAGAAGACGACCAGCCACACUGGAACUGAGACACGGUCCAGACUCCUACGGGAGGCAGCAGUGGGGAAUUUUGGACAAUGGGCGAAAGCCUGAUCCAGCCAUUCCGCGUGCAGGAUGAAGGCCCUCGGGUUGUAAACUGCUUUUGUACAGAACGAAGAGGUUUCUACUAAUACUAGGAGCUCAUGACGGUACUGUAAGAAUAAGCACCGGCUAACUACGUGCCAGCCGCCGCAGUAA